rnacentral:rRNA from 1 species
CAAAAACAUGUCUUUUUGAUUAUAAUUUAAAGUCUAACCUGCCCAAUGAGGAGUUAAAUGGCCGCGGUAUUUUGACCGUGCAAAGGUAGCAUAAUCAUUAGUUUUUUAAUUGAAAGCUGGUAUGAAUGGUUGGACGAGAAAAUAACUGUCUCAAUUUAAAUUAAAUUAGAAUUUUAUUUAUGAGUAAAAAAGCUCAUAUGGAUUUAAAAGACGAGAAGACCCUAUAGAAUUUAAUAUAUGUAUAUAUAUAUUAUUUUUAGAAUUAAUAAUAAGUUAUAUAUAAUUAUAUUUUGUUGGGGUGAUAGAAAAAUUAAAUUAACUUUUUUUAUAUAAAAACAUUAAUGUAUGAAAAAGUGAUCCGUUAAUUACGAUUAUAAGAUUAAAUUACCUUAGGGAUAACAGCGUAAUUUUUUUUUAGAGUUCUUAUCGAAAAAAGAGUUUGCGACCUCGAUGUUGGAUUAAAAUUAACUUUUGGUGUAGGGGCU